rnacentral:rRNA from 1 species
CGCUGUCACUCCUACGGGAGGCAGCAGUGGGGAAUAUUGCACAAUGGGCGCAAGCCUGAUGCAGCCAUGCCGCGUGUAUGAAGAAGGCCUUCGGGUUGUAAAGUACUUUCAGCAGUGAGGAAGGCGGGUACGUUAAUAGCGUGCUCGUUUGACGUUAGCUGCAGAAGAAGCACCGGCUAACUCCGUGCCAGCAGCCGCGGUAAUACGGAGGGUGCGAGCGUUAAUCGGAAUUACUGGGCGUAAAGCGCAUGCAGGUGGUUUGUUAAGUCAGAUGUGAAAGCCCGGGGCUCAACCUCGGAAUUGCAUUUGAAACUGGCAGACUAGAGUACUGUAGAGGGGGUAGAAUUUCAGGUGUAGCGGUGAAAUGCGUAGAGAUCUGAAGGAAUACCGGUGGCGAAGGCGGCCCCCUGGACAGAUACUGACACUCAGAUGCGAAAGCGUGGGGAGCAAACAGGAUUAGAUACCCUGGUAG